CAGCCAGCCUAAGCGCCCUACUU
rnacentral:siRNA from 1 species